CCUUAGCAAUCGCCAAACCAAUCUCCAAGAGGUUAUUGACCAUGCCUGAGCAAUAUCAACCUGACCACGAAGGUCUAUUCCUGCAAGCAAUCGAAGACCAAGCAAGAAUAUGAUAUUGCAAUCUGAAUAUUGCGAAUAUAGAUGAAGUAUUGAUAAGGGUGGGGAUCCAAAAGCGGUCUUAGUCUGGUCGUUGGACACAAACGAAGUACACAACGUUGCAAUGACUAACUUUUAACUAAAUAAAUCCCAACCAAAAAGCUACU
rnacentral:lncRNA from 1 species